rnacentral:tRNA from 1 species
UCGGAGUGUAGCGCAGCCUGGUAGCGCGUCUGCUUUGGGAGCAGAAUGUCGGGGGUUCGAAUCCCUCCACUCCGACCAA